UACGGAGGGUGCGAGCGUUAAUCGGAAUUACUGGGCGUAAAGCGCACGUAGGCUGUAUGACAAGUCAAGGGUGAAAUGCCACGGCUCAACCGUGGAACUGCCUUUGAAACUGUUUCCCUUGAGUAUCGGAGAGGUCAUCGGAAUUCCUAGUGUAGCGGUGAAAUGCGUAGAUAUUAGGAGGAACACCGGUGGCGAAGGCGGCUUACUGGGCUUAAACUGACGCUGAGGCACGAAAGUGUGGGGAGCAAACAGG
rnacentral:rRNA from 1 species